rnacentral:rRNA from 1 species
GUCGAGCACCUACGGGUGUGAAGUCAUUGAUGCCAUGCUUCCAGGAAAAGCCUCUAAGCUUCAGAUUGUAAGGAAUCGUACCCCAAACCGACACAGGUGGUCGGGUAGAGAAUACCAAGGCGCUUGAGAGAACUCGGGUGAAGGAACUAGGCAAAAUGGUACCGUAACUUCGGGAGAAGGUACGCUCUCGACGGUGAAGUCCCUUGCGGAUGGAGCUAUUGAGAGUCGCAGAUACCAGGUGGCUGCAACUGUUUAUUAAAAACACAGCACUGUGCAAAAUCGUAAGAUGACGUAUACGGUGUGACGCCUGCCCGGUGCCGGAAGGUUAAUUGAUGGGGUUAGACUUCGGUCGAAGCUCUUGAUCGAAGCCCCGGUAAACGGCGGCCGUAACUAUAACGGUCCUAAGGUAGCGAAAUUCCUUGUCGGGUAAGUUCCGACCUGCACGAAUGGCGUAAUGAUGGCCACGCUGUCUCCACCCGAGACUCAGUGAAAUUGAAAUCGCUGUGAAGAUGCAGUGUACCCGCGGCUAGACGGAAAGACCCCGUGAACCUUUACUACAGCUUGGCACUGAACAUUGACCCUACAUGUGUAGGAUAGGUGGGAGGCUUUGAAACGAGUACGCCAGUAUUCGUGGAGCCGUCCUUGAAAUACCACCCUUGUAGUGUUGAUGUUCUAACGUUGACCCCUUAUCGGGGUUGCGGACAGUGCCUGGUGGGUAGUUUGACUGGGGCGGUCUCCUCCCAAAGCGUAACGGAGGAGCACGAAGGUGGGCUAAUCACGGUUGGACAUCGUGAGGUUAGUGCAAUGGCAUAAGCCCGCUUGACUGCGAGAAUGACAAUUCGAGCAGGUGCGAAAGCAGGUCAUAGUGAUCCGGUGGUUCUGAAUGGAAGGGCCAUCGCUCAACGGAUAAAAGGUACUCCGGGGAUAACAGGCUGAUACCGCCCAAGAGUUCAUAUCGACGGCGGUGUUUGGCACCUCGAUGUCGGCUCAUCACAUCCUGGGGCUGAAGUCGGUCCCAAGGGUAUGGCUGUUCGCCAUUUAAAGUGGUACGCGAGCUGGGUUUAGAACGUCGUGAGACAGUUCGGUCCCUAUCUGCCGUGGGCGUUGGAGAAUUGAAAGGGGCUGCUCCUAGUACGAGAGGACCGGAGUGGACGAACCUCUGGUGUUCGGGUUGUGUCGCCAGACGCAUUGCCCGGUAGCUAAGUUCGGGAUCGAUAACCGCUGAAAGCAUCUAAGCGGGAAGCGAGCCUUGAGAUGAGUUCUCCCUGAUACUUUAAGUAUCCUAAAGGGUUGUCGUAGACUACGACGUUGAUAGGCAGGGUGUGUAAGCGUUGUGAGGCGUUGAGCUAACCUGUACUAAUUGCCCGUGAGGCUUAACCAUACAACACCCAAGGGGUUU